rnacentral:rRNA from 1 species
CCUACGGGAGGCAGCAGUGAGGAAUAUUGGUCAAUGGACGAAAGUCUGAACCAGCCAAGUAGCGUGAAGGAUGAAUGCCCUAUGGGUUGUAAACUUCUUUUAUAAAGGAAUAAAACGAGGCACGUGUGCCUUUUUGCAUGUACUUUAUGAAUAAGGAUCGGCUAACUCCGUGCCAGCAGCCGCGGUAAUACGGAGGAUGCGAGCGUUAUCCGGAUUUAUUGGGUUUAAAGGGAGCGUAGAUGGGUUGUUAAGUCAGUUGUGAAAGUUUGCGGCUCAACCGUAAAAUUGCAAUUGAUACUGGAAGUCUUGAGUACAGUUGAGGUAGGCGGAAUUCGUGGUGUAGCGGUGAAAUGCUUAGAUAUCACGAAGAACCCCGAUUGCGAAGGCAGCUUACUAAACUGUGACUGACAUUGAGGCACGAAAGUGUGGGUAUCAAACAGGAUUAGAUACCCGUGUAGUC